rnacentral:pre_miRNA from 1 species
GAAAAUGGAUGGGACCUUAGGGGGCAAAGGCAGGAAGAGGCUGAGCUGUCCUUAGCCUGCAGCCAGAGCCCUGGGCAUAGGGACCGUGGAGCACCUACCUCAGCUACCUUUUUGCCUCCGGGGUGGCCUGUCUGCUUUC